UUUCCGUAGGUGAACCUGCGGAAGGAUCAUUAACGAAGACGCAACCGCGAGGGCUGUGCUGGCGCGAGCAUGUGCACGCCCCCCUCGUCGUCCCGUCCAUUUCACACCCGUGCACAACGCCUGUCGGACGGGGAGGGCCCCGCGCGCCCCGUCCGACCCUUCUCACAUCAGCCUCAGUCCGAACCGAAUGUCGAAUGCGUAAACGCAACCGAAAUACAACUUUUAACAACGGAUCUCUUGGUUCUC
rnacentral:misc_RNA from 1 species